rnacentral:rRNA from 1 species
AGGAAGGUAGUGUAGUUAACACCUGCAUUAUUUGACGUUACCUACAGAAGAAGCACCGGCUAACUCCGUGCCAGCAGCCGCGGUAAUACGGAGGGUGCGAGCGUUAAUCGGAAUUACUGGGCGUAAAGCGCAUGCAGGCGGCCUGUUAAGUCAGAUGUGAAAGCCCGGGGCGUUAACCUCGGAAUUGCAUUUGUAAACUGGCAGGCUAGAGUCUUGUAGAGGGGGGUAGGAAUUUCAGGUGUAGCGGUGAAAUGCGUAGAGAUCUGAAGGAAUACCAGUGGCGAAGGCGGCCCCCUCGGACAAAGACUGACGCUCAGAUGCGAAAGCGUGGGGAGCAAACAGGAUUAGAUACCCUGGUAG